GACGAACGCUGGCGGCGUGCUUAACACAUGCAAGUCGAACGGAAAGGCCCUGCUUUUGUGGGGUGCUCGAGUGGCGAACGGGUGAGUAACACGUGAGUAACCUGCCCUUGACUUUGGGAUAACUUCAGGAAACUGGGGCUAAUACCGGAUAGGAGCUCCUGCUGCAUGGUGGGGGUUGGAAAGUUUCGGCGGUUGGGGAUGGACUCGCGGCUUAUCAGCUUGUUGGUGGGGUAGUGGCUUACCAAGGCUUUGACGGGUAGCCGGCCUGGGAGGGUGACCGGGCACAUUGGGACUGAGAGACGGCCCAGACUGGUACGGGAGGCAGCAGUGGGGAAUGUGGCGGAGUGGGGGGAAGGGUGAGGCAGCGACGCCGGGUGCGGGAUGACGGCCUUCGGGUUGUAAACCGCUUUCGCCUGUGACGAAGCGUGAGUGACGGUAAUGGGUAAAGAAGCACCGGCUAACUACGUG
rnacentral:rRNA from 1 species